rnacentral:lncRNA from 1 species
GAUGGUGUUAGGCUCCUGAGGGUAGUCAGUAAAAGACCACGUGGUUUCCUCCUUGCUCCCUCUGGGAGAAGCCAGCGGCCAUGCUGUGAGCAGUUCUCUGGAGAUGCCCAUUUGACGAAGACUGAACCUCCUGCCAACAGCCAGUUAGGAACGAAGGCCUCCAGCCAACAGCCAUGUAUGGGAACCAUUUUGGAUAGGACUCCUCCAGACCUAGUCACAGCUUCAUGUACCUGCAGCCCUUGCUGAGAUCUUCACUGCAGUCUCACAAGAUAUCCUGAACCAGAAACAUCCAGCCAAGCCACUCCCAGGCUCCUGCCCCUUAGAAACUGGACACAAGGAGGGCUCUUAGAAAUGUGUGAGGAGACUGGUGAUCAGGCAAGGAUAUUAAAGGGUCAAAGGGUAGAGCACGGUGAUAAAAUCUGCACCUCUGCCUGCUCCUGCCGUUAAUUCUACCUCCCAUUUCAGGAAGAGAAUGUGGGGCUGAGAAAAGUUAUCUAUUGCUCAAUUGGACCUCUCCAGUUUCUGUGAGACAAUGUCCUUUCUAUGCACCUUGGGAGAAGAAAGAGAAUCACUGCUCCAUGCAACUAUUCAAAGACCCAAGCUUCUUCCAUCACAUGAUUCUACCAUCUUUUAGGAAUUUGUCUUUUUUUGCAUUUAACCAGAGUAGGAAAAGGAUGAGGAGAGGAGACAGAGAGGAUUGUGUGGGGGACAUUUUAUAGGUCAGGCCUGGAGAUGACAGCGUGACUUCCAUCUGUUUUGUUGUCCAACUGAGCCAUGUGGCCAUAUUUAACUGCAAAAGAGUUUGGGAGAUGUGGUCUAACUGCAGAUCUAGAUAAAGAAGAAACAGAUUUAUUGAACAUGUGGGCAGACUGCCACAACUGGGGACAAAUUAAGUGACAGGCAUGCCUUACUCAGAAUUACUUUUCCCAGUUGACCAUAGAGGCUAUGUUACUGUUGGGAAAAAAAACAAAACAAACAAAAAAACUCCCUGUGGAUAGCAUCUUCUGAGAAGAGGCACUGACAACACUCUGGGUUAUCUUUUCAUGGAUGUUUAUAUUACAAACGGCAUUGGAAGAUGGAAAUAGUGUCUCCCUUUGGAGCAGAGGGCAGUUUGGUGUCCAGGUUAACAAAGAUAUUAUCUCUCUCUGGGAAAAAGUUUAGACAGGUUUGCUUACAAACCUUGUUUAGAUUGAAGUUUCCUAAGUUUGAGGUUUCUUAGGUGUGACCCUAAACCAUAAUAUGCUCAGCAUCCAUGUGCGCCCAGCCCUUGCCCCACAAUCCUUGGUAGGCAAGAAGAACCAACAGAAACAUAAAACCUAUGCUGCCUGCUGUGGUACCAGUCACAAAAUCCUUUUCUUUUGCCUAGACAUUCUGUGUCUUCUGGAAGCACACAUGAAACAGUGCCAGGCUAACCUGUUAGCUUGCAAGUAAAGCCUCAGACCCAUUACAGUUUUUGAGAGUUACCAGUUCAAGUUUAUCAUGGUCAGCAUUUAGUAAAUGUCUCUGGCUAGCCAAACAUUUUUAGCUUUCCAGGAUCCCAAGUAGCAGGCUUAAACUGACAUUUCAUCUUUGGUUAAAUGAAAUAAGUGAUAACAGUGUAAAUUUUGUAGCCCCCAGGCAUAUGUAACAUAAUACCAAGGCCUCCACAUUGUACAACUCCGGGUGCUCUGUUCAUAUCAUAGUCUAUGAAUAUGAAAUAUAGCUGCUCUAACUAUUAUAAGAUUUCAUCAUAUCUAACACCCUUAAUAGUAGAACACACCUUUACUUUAGGUGUAACAGAAAUAAAAAAGAAACUUCCAACUAAACUAUGAUAAAAUGCUCUUCUGUCAUUUUGAUUUUUUUAUUGUACAUUGAAAGAGCUCUUUAAUGCUUUUUUUUUAUUUAUUUUUUCAGAGACAGGGUCUCAGCUCUGUCACCCAGGCUGGAGUGCAGUGGCACAAUCACGGCUCACUGCAGCCUCGACCUCCAGGGCUCAAGCAAUCCUCCUGCCCUAACCUCCAGAGUAGCUAGGACUACAGGCAUGUGCUACCAUGCCUGGCUAUUUUUUAAAAUUAUCUGUAGAGAGUAGGUCUCACUAUGUUGCCCAGGCUGGCCUUGAACUCCUAGGUUCAAAUGAUCCUCCUACCUCAGCCUCCCAAAGUGCUGGGAUUACAGGCAUGAGCCACCAUGGCCAGAUUUUUAUGCUUAGAUUUAUCAUAUAUCAAUCAUGUACACAUAUAAGAGAAAUACCUAUUUCUAUUCAACAUUAUACUAGGGAGUCUAGCCAGCACAAUAAGGCAAGAAAAAAAAAGAAAUAAAAGUUAUAUGAAUUGGAAAGGAAUAAAUAAAACUAGUUGCAGACAACAUGAUUAUUUACCUAGGAUGUCCUAAAAAAUAUAAAAUAAAAGCUACUGUUGAGGUUAUCCUGGUUGCAGAAUACAAGGUGAAUGUACAAAAGUCAAUUUUAUUUCUGCAUACUAGCAAUGAACAAUUAUAAAUUUAAAUUUAAAGAGAAAUGCCAUGUAUACUAGCACCAAAAAAGCUCACAAAAUAUUUAGAGAUAAAUCAAAAUAUGUGCAAGGCUUAUGCUGAAAAUUAUUAAAACAGUGAGAGAAAUCAAAGACCUAAAUAAAUAGACAUACUGCCUUCUAGAUUGGAAGACUCAAUAUUGUUAAGAUGUCAAUUCUCAAAGGAACACUUAUACAUUGUUGGUGGGAGUGUAAAUUAGUUGAACCUUUGUGGAAGACAGUGUAGUGAUUCUUCAGAGACCUAAAGACAGAAAUACCAUUCAACCCAGCAAUCCCAUUACUGGGUAUAUACCCAGAGGAAUAUACAUUGUUCUCUUAUAAAGAUCUGUGCACAUGUAUGUUCACUGCAGCACCAUUCACAAUAGCAAAGACAUGGAAUCAACCCAAAUGCCUAUCAAUGAUAAACUGGGUAAAGAAAAUGUGGUACAAAUACACCAUGGAAUACUAUGCAGCCCCCAAAAAGAACGAGAUCAUGUCCUUUGCAGGGACAUGGAUGGGGCCGGAGGCCAUUAUCCUUAGCAAACUAAUGCAGGAACGGAAAACCAAAUAUCACAUGCUCUCACUUAUAAAUAGGAGCUAAAUGAUGAAAACACAUGGACACAUAGAGGGGAACGACACAUUGGGGCCUAUCAGAGGGAAGAGGGUGGGAGGAGGGGGAAGAUCAAGAAAACUAACUAGUAGAUACUAGGCUUAACACCUGGGUGAUGAAAUAGUCUGUACGACAAACCCCGAUGACACAAGUUUACGUACGUAACAAACCUGUACAUCCUGCACAUGUACACCUGAAGUUAAAAAAAGACAAACAAAAAACCAAACCCUCCCAACCUCAAAAAACGCCCAAAACCCAAAACAAACAUAAACCAAUUUGGGAAGAAUUGACAUCUUUUUAUAAGUUUAACACAAUCCCCAGAUCCUAGAAAGGUUUUUGUAGAAACAGAAAAGCUGAUUCUAAAAUUUAUAAGGAAAAGCAGUGACAGGAAUAGUCAAAACAAUUUUGAGAAACAAGAAGAAAGUUGGAGGACUUAUACCACUUGAUUUCCAAGUUUGCUAUGAAGCUGUAGUAAUGAAGACAGCAUGAAAUUGGCAAAAGGACAGAGAAAUAGAUCAGAGGAACAGAAUAGAAUAAACCCACACUUAUAUGGUCAACUGAUUUUCAAUAAAGGUUGAAUUCAACAGAGAAAGAAUAGUCUUUUCAACAAAUGGUAAUGAAAUAAUUGGUAACAAAUGUUAACCCAUCUCUUGUACCAUAUACACACAUUAACUUGAAAUGGAUUAUUGACCCAAUUGUAAAAGUCUAAAAACCAUAAAAUUUCUACAAGAAAAUAUAGGGGAUGAUCUUUGUGACCUUGGGCUUCACAAAGAUUUCUAAGACAGGACAUAAAAAACAUGAGCCAUAGAAGAAAUUUGACAAAGUGUAGUUUAUACAUUUAACUAUUUUGCUCUUUGAAAAACACCAUAAAAAUAAAAAAAAGAUUGAGAGAAUAUUUGCAAAACAUAUACCUGAUCAGGAAUACCCAGAAUAUAUAAAGAACUCUCAUAACUAAGUAAUAGAAACACAAACAAUCCAAUUAUGAAUGACUUGAACAGCUAUUUCAAAGACACGGGUAGCAAAUAAGCUCACAGAAAGAUGCCCAACAUAAUUUGCCAACGGGAAAAUGCAAAUUAAAGCCACAAUAAGAUACCACCACAAACUAGUACAAUGACAAUUUUUAAAAGCUGAUCAUACUAAGUGCUGGUGAUGUUGCAGAGUAACUGGAAGUUUCAUUCAUUACUGGUGGGAAUGUAAAAUGGUAUAGACACACUGGAGAACAGUUCAGCAGUUUCUUAAAACGCUAAAUCUACAUUUACCGUAUGACCCAGUAAUCCUAUUGCUAAGUGUAUACCCAUGAGAAAUGAAACUGCAUUCACACAAAAACCUAUACAGGAGUCUCUUCUUAUCCAUGGUCUUGUUUCCCGUGGUUUCAGUUACGUACGGUUAACCAGAGUCUGAAAAUAGAUAGAAAAUUCCAGAAAUAAUUCAUAAGUUUUAAGUUUCAUGCAGUUGAGAUCAGCUUGGUGAAAUAUCUUGCUCUCCUGCUCAGUCCUGCCUGGGAUGUGAAUCAUCGCCUUGUACAGUGUAUUCACACUGUCUGUGCUACCUCCUCAUUAGUCACAUAGUAGUUAUCAGAUCAAAAAACAAUAGUAUAUGGCAUAGGAUUUGGUACUAUCUGCAGUUUUGGGCAUCCACUGGGAAUCUUGGAAUGUAUCCCCCAUGAAAAAAGGGGGACUACUGUACCUAAAUAUUUACAGCUUUAUUCAUAAUUGCCCAAAACUGGAAACAAUCCAAAUAUUGUUCUACUAUGAAUGGAUAAACAAGUUAUGGUAUAUUGGCACAAUGGAAUACUACUCAACAAUAAGAAGGAAUGAACUAGUCAUAAAUGCAGAGGUAUUAUGCUAAGUGAAAGAAGCCAGAUUCAAAAUGCAGCAUGACGUUAUAGAAAAGGCAAAAUAGUAGAGAUGGAAAACAGAUCAGUGGUUGCCAGGGGCUGGUAGUAUGGUAUGGGAUUGACUAUAAAGGGCAUGAGAAAACUUAAAAAAUACUCUAUCUCUUCAUUUCAGUGAUAGACACACAACUUCAUACAUUUUUAAUAAUUUGUAGAACUUUGCACCUAAGAAGUAUAUCUCCCCGUACUCCCCCAAACUCCCUUCCGAAAGAGUCAUCUCUUGCUGGCUGUAUCUCUUGACUUGAAGGUCACCCUUCUCAAGGUAGUCUGCUGUACCUGUCUUCUUACCUGUUCAGGUUUAGAGAUAAUAGCUCAGCUGACUCUAAUAUUGUGUUCCUAUGCUGUUCUUCAUGAUUUUCAUAUGUUCUGCCCACAUUUGUCAGUAGUCCCAUAUAUAAAACCAUCCUAAGUUUUACUAAGUUCAGUGUGACAUCCGUUUCUUUGCUGGGACCCUGAUGACACCAGGCACAGGUCAGUUGAGCCAGACCCUUUUAGGGUUUCCUGAAAGCUCUGCCCACCAUUUUUUACUCAUGGUUAGAAGUUAGUCAGAUGGCCAUCCUGAAUAAGAGAGGUGGGGAUAGGUAGGUGGUAUAUUAUUGUUGUUGGCUUUUUGGGGGACUGGGAAUUGUAGUUAUGAAGGAAUAUUGGAUACUGGAUAGGCAGUUAGAUGUCUGUGUCACAGAGGUAAAGAUAAAGAGAGCCUACAAGGGAAGAAACAAUAUUAAUGUGUAGUUAAGUAGACUGAGGAGAAAGGGAAUAUACAUCAAUAAUCAUUGAACUCUCAGCAACACAGUCACAUUUUAAAGGUCACUGGCAAAUCCAUAGGCCCCUGCCUUUGAAGUGCCCCACCUUAAGACUUUUUAAUGGGCUUAAAGUUUUUUUUUUUUUAUUUUUUACAAAUAUACUGGAGAAUCAUGCAAUGCUGCCAGCACUGGACGCAAUCCAGGGCCACAAGUCUGCACACUCCUUUGCUACUGGUCCUGUAAUGGCAGAACCUUUCAUCUCGCCUUUAUUGUUCACUGUGACCCCUGCAUUAUCUUCAAAAUAAAGAAACACGCCAUCUUUUCUGCGGUAUGACUUUCGUUGUCGAAUAACCACUGCUGGAUGUACCUUUUUUCUGAGCUCUGGUUUGCCUUUCUUGACUGUGGCCAUCACCGUGUCACCCACACCAGCAGUGGGAAGUCUGUUCAGCCAUCCCUUGAUCCCCUUUCACGGAGAUGACAUACAGGUUUUUGGCUCCUGUGUUGUCAGCACAACUGAUCACACUCCUACCAGAAGACCCAAGGAAAUCUGGAAUUUCACACCAGAGGACCCACCACGUCCUCGCUUCAACAUCUUGAAAGCCGGAAAGAAGAAAAAAGCACUUAAGGCCUUUUUAAGUGUGUUUUUCCCUCUUGUACAGGCCCAUGAAUCCAAUUAAUUUAUAACUUUCACCCUGGAAGAAUACAAACAAUAUGCACAAUUGUUUAACUUAAUAUUCUUUCUGUACAAAGAAUGUGAAUUUUCAAUGCAAUAAAAU